GUGCGUUUAAAAAAACAAACAAACAAAAAGUUUCUCUAAUGCACACACAUACGUUCACAUUGCCCAUGUCUGUGUUUUAUGUGCUUAAAGCUGUUUGAUGAUGAUGCAUAUUUUCUGUAUUUUGCCUGCACCUCAAAAUAAAAAUUGGAAAAAAAAAACUUGCACAGAAUUUACAUUAGCCAGCACGGAAUUCUAAUUCCAUGCGGGCUGAUGACACCACAUGAAAUGGCCCAAGACAUGCAUUUGACAGUGAAACGCUGCACAUACACACGUCAGGC